CUCUAGCCCCGAUUGCAACGACAUCCUUUUUCUGAAUUGGCCUUGAAAAAAGCGUUGGCGAAAAAGAUAUAGUGGAAAGCGGGAUUAAGC
rnacentral:sRNA from 1 species